AGAGUUUGAUCCUGGCUCAGGAUGAACGCUAGCGGCAGGCCUAACACAUGCAAGUCGAGGGGUAGAAUGUCUUCGGAUGUUUGAGACCGGCGCACGGGUGCGUAACACGUAUGCAACCUACCUCUUACUGAAGGAUAGCCCAGAGAAAUUUGGAUUAAUACUUCAUAACACCACAAGAUCGCAUGAUCUCAUGGUUAAAGGUUACGGUAAGAGAUGGGCAUGCGUCCUAUUAGUUUGUUGGUGAGGUAAUGGCUCACCAAGACUACGAUAGGUAGGGGGUCUGAGAGGAUUAUCCCCCACACUGGUACUGAGACACGGACCAGACUCCUACGGGAGGCAGCAGUGAGGAAUAUUGCACAAUGGAGGAAACUCUGAUGCAGCCAUGCCGCGUGCAGGAUGAAGGCCCUAUGGGUUGUAAACUGCUUUUUUACAAGAAGAAACCUUGGUACGUGUACCAACUUGACGGUAUUGUAAGAAUAAGCACCGGCUAACUCCGUGCCAGCAGCCGCGGUAAUACGGAGGGUGCAAGCGUUAUCCGGAUUUAUUAGGUUUAAAGGGUUCGCAGGCGGAAUUUUAAGUCAGUGGUGAAAGCCUACAGCUCAACUGUAGAACUGCCAUUGAAACUGAUAUUCUUGAGUAUAGAUGAAGUGGGCGGAAUAUGUCAUGUAGCGGUGAAAUGCAUAGAUAUGACAUGGAACACCAAUUGCGAAGGCAGCUCACUAAACUAUUACUGACGCUCAUGAACGAAAGCGUGGGGAGCAAACAGGAUUAGAUACCCUGGUAGUCCACGCCGUAAACUAUGAUCACUAGAUGUUGGCGAUAUAUUGUCAGUGUUUUAGAGAAAUCGUUAAGUGAUCCACCUGGGGAGUACGUUCGCAAGAAUGAAACUCAAAGGAAUUGACGGGGGCCCGCACAAGCGGUGGAGCAUGUGGUUUAAUUCGAUGAUACGCGAGGAACCUUACCAAGACUUAAAUGUAUUUUGACAGGUUGAGAAAUCAACUUUUCUUCGGACAAUUUACAAGGUGCUGCAUGGUUGUCGUCAGCUCGUGCCGUGAGGUGUCGGGUUAAGUCCCAUAACGAGCGCAACCCCUAUUUUUAGUUACCAGCGAGUCAUGUCGGGAACUCUAGAAAGACUGCCUGUGUAAACAGUGAGGAAGGUGGGGAUGACGUCAAAUCAUCACGGCCCUUAUGUCUUGGGCUACACACGUGCUACAAUGGUCACUACAGUGGGCUGCCAUCUGGCAACAGAGAGCAAAUCCAUAAAGGUGAUCCCAGUUCGGAUCGGAGUCUGCAACUCGACUCUGUGAAGUUGGAUUCGCUAGUAAUCGUAUAUCAGCAAUGAUACGGUGAAUACGUUCCCGGGCCUUGUACACACCGCCCGUCAAGCCAUGGAAGUUUGGAGUGCCUGAAGUCAGUAACCGCAAGGAACUGCCUAGGGUAAAACGGAUAACUAGGGCUAAGUCGUAACAAGGUAGCCGUACCGGAAGGUGUGGCUG
rnacentral:rRNA from 1 species